GAUGAAGAACGUAGCGAAAUGCCAUACUUGGUGUGAAUUGCAGAAUCCCGUGAACCAUCGAGUCUUUGAACGCAAGUUGCGCCCGAAGCCAUCAGGUUGAGGGCACGUCUGCCUGGGCGUCACAUAUCGUUGCCCAAUGCCUAUUGCAGUGCAAUAGGAAUUUCUAGGGCGAAUGAUGGCUUCCCGUGAGCGUUGUUGCCUCGCGGUUGGUUGAAAAUCGAGUCCUUGGUAGGGUGUGCCAUGGUAGAUGGUGGUCGAGUUAGAACGAUACCGAUCAUGUGCAUGCUCCCCAAAAUAUGGCCUCUAUGACCCACACGCGUCUUUUGACGCUCAUGACGAGACCUCAGGUCAGGCGGGGCUACCCGCUGAAUUUAAGCAUAUCAAUAAGCGGAGA
rnacentral:misc_RNA from 1 species